UCAUCUCGCGCCAUCUCUCGAAUUUGAGAGGCUGUCAGGGAGACCCCAUGCGCUCGUUUGUAAUGGGUAACUCGCAUUCCUUCUUGAGUCAAGCUUUUGGGACAGAUCUGGCAUGGAUAACGAAUAUUUGUGUGCUUGGCAAUCACAUGCCGUUUAGUUGUGCUCUUUAAUUUAGAGUUGAAGCCGCAGAGUUUGCACAUCACGUUAUUUGUCCCCGGAAUGACGACCAUCAUGGUUUGCACUGUAAGGAAAAGAAAUACCUGCCAUUAAUAUCGAGUUCCACAAAAUACAGGUUAAACUACAUCAUCGGUAGUGACUAGGGUUCGGAAAGAUAAUGUUUUAUGUUAGAAAAAGUUAUAAGCAUUUUUGGUCACCCUUUCGGCAAAACAAUUUCCACGAAUUUUAACCAUAACAUAACCUAAUACCGAGCAUUUUUAGUGAAAUAGAAGGGUUGUGGUAAUGUUGUCAAAGUUUGGAUAAGAGUUCUGAACCAUGCUUUGGUGAGGCGGUCAUUGCUGACUAUCUCUGUGGAAGUGAUUGACCGACGUUCAUUGCCUUGGAUGGCUUUGCGGAUUUUCACUUGGCGAUCAUUGAGUAUUACCUGUACUUGACAGGGACAUCUUGUUCCGAAAUGCGUGGCCACCCAAAUGUUAUUUCAACCCGAUGGACAUGCCAACACUCCUUAAGGAAUUCGCCAGUCACAAACUCUCCAUGGUCCACCCCUCCACCCUGUCUGCCCAAAGCAUAGCUUUUCGCCAGAUAGGGGCUACCUUGUACCAAUGCACGGGUAGUGGUGCACAGCGACACCGACUCCACCAUCCACUGGCAUCCGGCUCACCCUAUUGCCUACAUCUCACCGAUGGUACCGUUGCGUCUGAGCAUCAUUAUACCCUGCUACGAUUCAGACAAGUCCGACGAUGACGAUGACUCCAACGAGACCUCUAUCAACGAAGAUGCCGAUACCGAGGUAGAUGAACCCACCUCGAACAAGCAAGUUCAAGCCGAAUCUGAGCAACCACCGCCGGAACAAGAGAGUGAAAGUAGGGACUGGUCAAAGGAGUCUGAAGCAAACGAUAUGCCACCAUCUGCCGCGCCAGAGGAACCAACCACAGAAGCCGGCAAUGGCCCACUCUGCCGACC